rnacentral:rRNA from 1 species
CUUGCUAGAAGAUGACGAGUGGCGGACGGGUGAGUAAUGCUUGGGAACUUGCCUUUGCGAGGGGGAUAACAGUUGGAAACGACUGCUAAUACCGCAUAAUGUCUUCGGACCAAACGGGGCUUCGGCUCCGGCGCAAAGAGAGGCCCAAGUGAGAUUAGCUAGUUGGUAAGGUAACGGCUUACCAAGGCGACGAUCUCUAGCUGUUCUGAGAGGAAGAUCAGCCACACUGGGACUGAGACACGGCCCAGACUCCUACGGGAG